GGAAAAACUGCUCUUCACCCUUCCUCGUUUAAUUGAAACUGUCCUUUCAAUUGCAAAGGCCACCCAUUAGCAUUACAAAGUCACAGGACUUUCUCCUCAGUUCUGCUGCGCUGCUUUUCUCACAUUCAGGAUGCUGAGACAGCCUGAUCUCUGAGGGAAUUUUGUUUUGUUUUAAGCAGAAGAAGAGAUAUUCUCAUUCGAGACACCAACAAGACGCCUAACAAGAGUCUUUUGCGAACAAAAAUACUUAAAGUACUGUAAGCGAAUGAAGCGGAACGCGACAAGUGCGGGGCUGGCCCUGCGGGUCCCUGCGGCGCAGCAGCCCCGGCCCCGCCGCCGCCUCAGCCGCCUCUUCCCGCCCUUUGUCCCGCCCCUUUUUCUCCCCUCAGGGCCCGGCGGCCCCUCAGCGUCUCCCGCCGCCGCUGCCCCUGCCCUGCGCCGCGCUGGCGGGACUGCGAACGGGGACUUUAUACCGCAAAAACACUCUUCUCUAAAUAAUGUGUGUUGACAAGUCAUUCUGGAACCUUUUCAGUGAUUCUCUGCCACAGUUCGCACACAAAAGGAAACUGACCAACGGGACACAAAAGCCCAAGCAUUCAUGACCCUCCCUAACUCAACAAGCACGGCUUUCCAGAAGAAUUGACAUCACGGAAAAUAAGUUUAGGGUCUGAAGGGUCAAAUACAACCGACACGUGUGAUCACAUUCGUCCUGGGCCAGAGAGUUGUCCCUGACCUCAGGAUUUAUGGACCUGACAUCUUCAACACCUGCAGAGAGUCCACAACCGUACUGGCUUCUCCAGCUCCUGAACUCCAACCCAUCCACAGCAAAGGAGCCUGCACUAGACUCCAUGUCCUGAACCUUGUGCAGCUGAACUACUGCCGUGCCACCAUCAAGGUCUGAAAAUCUCACCUUUCUGGAACCACGUACAGAUGCCCGAUCGCUGCUGCACAAAGCCAACCCCCAUGCUGUUCUUCCCUGACAUCUCCUCUGCCAGGAGUUCCCUUCCUGAUGAUUCUAAUGCUGAAACAGGUCAACUGUUGACCACAACUUUCAAUAAAGCGCC